rnacentral:rRNA from 1 species
AACGAACGCUGGCGGCGCGUCUUAAGCAUGCAAGUCGAACGGCAUGAGGAAGCUUGCUUCCUCAGAGAGUGGCGGACUGGUGAGUAACACGUGGAUAAUCUACCUGCAACACCGGGAUAACGCUGUGAAAACGGUGCUAAUACCGGAUACGUUCCCUUGUGCGCAUGUAUGAGGGAAGAAAGCUCAGGCGGUUGCAGAUGAGUCCGCGGCUGAUUAGCUAGUUGGUGAGGUAAAGGCUCACCAAGGCGACGAUGGGUAGCCGGCCUGAGAGGGUGAACGGCCACACUGGGACUGAGACACGGCCCAGACUCCUACGGGAGGCAGCAGUAGGGAAUCUUCCGCAAUGGGCGCAAGCCUGACGGAGCGACGCCGCGUGAGUGAUGAAGGCCUUCGGUCGUAAGCUCUGUCUUGAGACGAAUAAGACCAGGAGUGGAAGCCCUGGUGAUGACUGUACUCAAGGAGAAAGACUCCGGCGUAA